rnacentral:rRNA from 1 species
GACGAACGCUGGCGGCGUGCCUAACACAUGCAAGUCGAGCGAAGCUUGAUAGUAAUAUGAAGCUUAGCGGCGGACGGGUGAGUAACACGAAAGCAAUUUGGCCCAUACAGGGGGAUCACAUUGAGAAAUCAGUGCUAAUACCGCAUAAGACCACAACGUCGCAUGACGAAGGGGUAAAAGGAGAGAUCCGGUAAGGGGUGAGCUUGCGUCCCAUUAGCUAGUGGGCAGGGUAAGAGCCGACCAAGGAAAGGAUGGGUAGCCGGACUGAGGGGUUGAACGGCCACACUGGGACUGAGACACGGCCCAGACUCCUACGGGAGGCAGCAGUAUGGAAUAUUGGACAAUGGGGGGAACCCUGGUCCAGCCAGGCCGCGUGUGGGAAGAAGGCCUUAUGGUUGUAAAGCACUUUAAGCGAGGAGGAGGCUACUUUAGUUAAUACCUAGAGAUAGUGGACGUUACACGCAGAAUAAGCACCGGCUAACUCUGUGCCAGCCGCCGCAGUAA